rnacentral:tRNA from 1 species
GGAGGGUUGGGUGAGUGGUUUAAACCAACAGUCUUGAAAACUGUCGAUGGGGUGACCCAUCCGUGAGUUCGAAUCUCACACCCUCCGCCA